rnacentral:rRNA from 1 species
GGCGAAUGACAAAGACAUAGUCAUUUUGAAAAUUGUGGUCCGUGAUCAUGAAUUGUAAUAUUCAAAAUGCAUUGCUAACAAAAUUGCAUAUGUUAGUUUAUUGGAAAGAACAUUACAAAGGGUGAAAAUCCCAUGUGUCAUGUGUAUGUUUUGUGUACAGUGUGCAUUUCAUGAUUCACAUUCAUUGACAAUUGAAUGUAAAGCGAAUGGUAAACUUCAUUUAAACAUAAAUAUGUUGUUGAAAACUUAUAUCGAACAAAUACCAUGAGGGAAAUGUGAAAAGGAUUUUGAAAAGAAAAUUAAAAGAGCUUACAAUUGCUGGAUUGAUAAGCAAACAAAACACACAUGUGUAUGUGCAAGAUUGUUGUCAUGUUGUGCAAUUCAUGCAAAUUAACAUUGCUUUGGUUUUUGUGUAAUUUUGUCAGCUUUGGAAUUGAGAAUGAUUUUUUUGAGUGUGAAUGGAUUGUUGUUUGUUAACAAAGGAAUGCACUUUCAAAAUCAUUGUUUGAUUUGUCAAUCAAGUUUGUGGCGUGUGUGUGUGUCAAAUUUAAUUAUAUAAUUC